AAAUAAGAAGCGAAAUAUUGCAAUCAGUUUCGACCUGAAAUUAUGGCAUAAUAAUGCCCUUAUUUA
rnacentral:tRNA from 4 species